rnacentral:rRNA from 1 species
AGUGAACGCUGGCGGUAGGCCUAACACAUGCAAGUCGAACGGCAGCACAGUAAGAGCUUGCUCUUAUGGGUGGCGAGUGGCGGACGGGUGAGGAAUACAUCGGAAUCUACUUUUUCGUGGGGGAUAACGUAGGGAAACUUACGCUAAUACCGCAUACGACCUACGGGUGAAAGCAGGGGAUCGUCGGACCUUGCGCGAUUGAAUGAGCCGAUGUCGGAUUAGCUAGUUGGCGGGGUAAAGGCCCACCAAGGCGUCGAUCCGUAGCUGGUCUGAGAGGAUGAUCAGCCACACUGGAACUGAGACACGGACCAGACUCCUACGAGAGGCAGCAGUGGGGAAUAUUAGACAAUGGGCGCAAGCCUGAUCCAGCCAUACCGCGUGGGUGAAGAAGGCCUUCGGGUUGUAAAGCCCUUUUGUUGGGAAAGAAAAGCAGCAGGUUAAUACCACGCGGUUCUGACGGUACCCAAAGAAUAAGCACCGGCUAACUUCGUG